rnacentral:rRNA from 1 species
UACAGAGGGGGCAAGCGUUGUUCGGAAUUACUGGGCGUAAAGGGCGCGUAGGCGGCCGCCUAAGUCAGACGUGAAAUCCCUCGGCUCAACCGGGGAACUGCGUCUGAUACUGGGUGGCUUGAAUCCGGGAGAGGAAUGCGGAAUUCCAGGUGUAGCGGUGAAAUGCGUAGAUAUCUGGAGGAACACCGGUGGCGAAGGCGGCAUCCUGGACCGGCAUUGACGCUGAGGCGCGAAAGCCAGGGGAGCAAACGGG